rnacentral:rRNA from 1 species
UGUAGAGUGCUAUUUUUAGAGAUAGAAAGUUCCCUUCGGGGCUUUCUGCAAGGUGCUGCAUGGUUGUCGUCAGCUCGUGCCGUGAGGUGUCGGGUUAAGUCCCAUAACGAGCGCAACCCUUAUCGUUAGUUGCCAUCUGGUAAUGCAGGGGACUCUAGCGAAACUGCCACCGUAAGGUGAGAGGAAGGUGGGAUGACGUCAAAUCAGCACGGCCCUUAUGUCCAGGGCUACACACGUGUUACAAUGGUCGGUACAGAGGGCAGCUACCUGGUGACAGGAUGCUAAUCUCGAAAACCGGUCUCAGUUCGGAUCGAAGUCUGCAACUCGACUUCGUGAAGCUGGAUUCGCUAGUAAUCGCGCAUCAGCUAUGGCGCGGUGAAUACGUUCCCGGGCCUU